rnacentral:tRNA from 1 species
GCGAGAAUGCUGUAAUGGUAGCCAGGACAGGUUUAGGCCCUGUUGGAUUAUAUUCGUGGAGGUUCGAGUCCUCUUUCUCGCA